rnacentral:rRNA from 1 species
CCUACGGGUGGCAGCAGUGGGGAAUAUUGCACAAUGGGCGCAAGCCUGAUGCAGCCAUGCCGCGUGUGUGAAGAAGGCCUUCGGGUUGUAAAGCACUUUCAGCGGGGAGGGAGGCGGUGAGGUUAAUAACCUCAUCGAUUGACGUUACCCGCAGAAGAAGCACCGGCUAACUCCGUGCCAGCAGCCGCGGUAAUACGGAGGGUGCAAGCGUUAAUCGGAAUUACUGGGCGUAAAGCGCACGCAGGCGGUCUGUCAAGUCGGAUGUGAAAUCCCCGGGCUCAACCUGGGAACUGCAUUCGAAACUGGCAGGCUAGAGUCUUGUAGAGGGGGGUAGAAUUCCAGGUGUAGCGGUGAAAUGCGUAGAGAUCCGGAGGAAUACCGGUGGCGAAGGCGGCCCCCUGGACAAAGACUGACGCUCAGGUGCGAAAGCGUGGGGAGCAAACAGGAUUAGAUACCCUAGUAGUC